rnacentral:rRNA from 1 species
AUUGAACGCUGGCGGCAGGCCUAACACAUGCAAGUCGAACGAGUGGCGGACGGGUGAGUAAUGUCUGGGAAACUGCCCGAUGGCGGGGAUUAACUACUGGAAACGGUAGCUAAUACCGCAUACCCUCGAAUGUUCCCAGAUGGGAUUAGGUGGUAGGUGGGGUAACGGCUCACCUGGGAGACGAUCCCUAGCUGGUCUGAGAGGAGUACCAGCCAAACUGGAACUGAGACACGGUCCAGACUCCUACGGGAGGCAGCAGUGGGGAAUAGUGCACAAUGGGCGCAAGCCGAAUGCAGCCAUGCCGCGUGUAUGAAGAAGGCCUUCGGGUUGUAAAGUACUUUCAGCGAGGAGGCGUUACUCGCAGAAGAAGCACCGGCUAACUCCGUGCCAGCAGCCGCGGUAAUAC